ensembl:lncRNA
UUUAGGAAACGCUGCUUUUCCUCCUGUAAGACCAGUGGAAGGAGGAACUUAAGUCCCAGGAAGGAAAGGAGCAAAGCUGGGCUGUACACCUGGCAUUUCUCUGCUGUGCUGGUUAAUUCAGCCUGGACUUUAAAGCAAUUCCAUGGUGGGGCAUAAGGUCUGUAGAGUCUGUUGGCAGAAAAAUGCCUGACUAUCUAGUGUUGAACCAACCAACGCCUUCUGAGGAAGCCACCUAAUGCUCUGUCCAAGACAUCAGUGUGCAUUCACAGACCAAAAAAAGGAGAUGUGAGGGACAGAUGAUACGUUACCAGAAUUAGCCAUUGCCACACCAAGUACGCAUCAGACUCAGGACUCGCCUUGGUUCAACAACCUGAAAUUCAAGUUCCCUAUUCCAGGCUCACAUGCCUUCUAAUGAUAGCGUGUUCGUGUCUCCUUCAGCUUUGGGCAUGACCUUUCUGAGCUGGCUGCUUCUGUUUCUCACCUGUACAUUGAGCCAAAAAACAGCCACCUCUGAAUUUUAGGAGGGGGUGUAAGGGACAGAGCAGAUGAAAGAUUUUCUGUAUUCAGUGAUAUGACCCUGAAUGAAUGCAGCUGAGCAAACUGGCCAACUCAGAUGAGCACUAUUUUGUACUGCUCAUGUUUACCAGCGUACUGUGCCUGGGUCCAAGAGCAAGCCUACAACGCUGCUAUGGUGAAGCUGGCCAGCCCACUUUAACCUACUCAGACAUGCCAUCUAAACAAAACACUCCCUCUCCAAAAACCUCCUGCUCCUCUCUGCCCUCUUGCAAGCCCUCUUGCUGCAAUCCUUUCCUGUGCUGCCUCUGGGGUGCAAUGGCUCUUGCUCCAAAUCGUUACUUCUAUGUGGAAGAUCGCCAAGCUGGAGUGGUGGGGCAGGCUGUGCCACCUGCUGCAGAGAGCUCCCCAGCUGUGGUGUGUUAGAUCCUGCUGUUGAAAUGCACCUGGGCAGGCUGCUCUGAAAACACCUGGGGGGUUACCAGCUGAGGCCAAAGAGGCAGAAUGGGCUGGAGGAAUGCAGUUCUGACAGUAAGUUAAAGCCUAAGUGGGUUGGGCCUGCACUUACCUAUAGGAUGAUGAGAAGAGGGUGCUGAGGUGCUGCUGGGGCAGAAUGGGGGUGUUUUGGUGUGCAGAGGGCCAUGUUGGCACCAUCCUGAAAACAAUGAGCAAGCCCUGCUCUGAGGCUGCUUUACAAAUGGCUGCUGGUGGUCAUAGGACAUCUGGGAACGACGUGAAAACUGCAGAUGGUGGAAAUGUGGUAUGUGGGAACGCUGUGAAUUGUUCAGUCAGCAUCUAGGAAUAAAGAUACAAAACUUCUACAAUUAGAGAUCCUCCUCGGGAAGGAGUUUGCCAUCAGCGCACACCAGAGCUAAGCUCUUUCAAAAAGUGUCACCUCUAUUUUUGGAUGGGGGGAUUGAAUCAACUUCCAGUGUAAGGGAAAUCUGGUUUCGGGCUUGUGCAGCAGAGAAAAGGGAGUGGCAUGGCAUUGGCAGGUCACGUAGUCCAGUUCUGUACAUCAGGUACAACGGUACCAUGAAGUAUGAUUUUGACACAGGAAUCUCACCUUGAAUUUAUGUUCUGUUUUACUACUGGAAAAUGAACCAUGACUGUUAAUUAAGGACUGUUUCCAGGUUAAGUUUGCACUGUUUCUAAUUGUUCAGGUCCUCCACAUUUAAUCCAGUAUUGCCAUUCUAGCACAGAUUUGGUCCUUAGUAUGAGUUAUGCUGUGUCUUCAUGAUGUGCUGCUAUGUUUUAGCCCUGGUGUUAAGUUUAAAUGUCUUUCAGUUUUCCUUUGUGCUGGUUCUUUUAGCAGAACCCAGAGCAAGGGCCACCUAUAUGAGAAUCUUAUCCUUCAAGCUGUAAUCAGUGGGAAGCUGCCCUGCGGACCUUGGGAUUUUUCUAUUCCUAGUCAAGGGAGAAACAAAUUUUCUUUCCAGUUUUGGAUUUGUCUGCCCAUUGGUUUCAGUUACAUCAUGCGAACAAGACAGACUCAGCUUUACUGCCCAAGAUAGGCAAUAUGUGUGCAGUAGAAAUACACUGGAAAUUCACCUGAAAGCUGAGUAGAAUUUCAUCACUUCAAGUCAAUCGUACAGAUAUUAUCUUCCUUUUAAAUAAAGAGGAAUAAUAUUCUUAAAUGCACCUCCACAGCUUAUAAUGAUCAGUACGAUUCCUUAUGUGCACUUGCUUUACAAAGUGGAAGAAAACACCCAUUUUUUGUCUAAUUAUAGCUCUGGAGUUGCUAACUAGCACCUUCUCUGAGAAACAGUUGCCUGUGAUGAGCUUUGCAAGAAGAGAGAUGUUGAGAUGGUUUAAAAAAUAAAAUAAAAAAAGCAUCUGAUAUCUAUCAGUAUGGAUUAUUACAGCUUGCCAUUAUUU